rnacentral:rRNA from 1 species
CCUACGGGAGGCAGCAGUGAGGAAUAUUGGUCAAUGGACGAGAGUCUGAACCAGCCAAGUAGCGUGAAGGAUGACUGCCCUAUGGGUUGUAAACUUCUUUUAUAUGGGAAUAAAAUGUUCCACGUGUGGGAUUUUGUAUGUACCAUAUGAAUACGGAUCGGCUAACUCCGUGCCAGCAGCCGCGGUAAUACGGAGGAUCCGAGCGUUAUCCGGAUUUAUUGGGUUUAAAGGGAGCGUAGGUGGAUUGUUAAGUCAGUUGUGAAAGUUUGCGGCUCAACCGUAAAAUUGCAGUUGAAACUGGCAGUCUUGAGUACAGUAGAGGUGGGCGGAAUUCGUGGUGUAGCGGUGAAAUGCUUAGAUAUCACGAAGAACUCCGAUGGCGAAGGCAGUUCACUGGACUGCAACUGACACUGAGGCUCGAAAGUGUGGGUAUCAAACAGGAUUAGAUACCCGGGUAGUC